UAGAUUUUGCUGGCUAGCAAACAAUUACAGCUUUGAUAUGAGCUACAAGGGCUCUACCUCUCCCCUGAGUAUUAGAAGUCUGAAAAGAAGAGCUGUCUCCAUGAAGAUGGGCCAAAUGCCCUCCCUCCUGUGGCUGAUUGUGCUACAUCAUCCCAACAUGAUAAACCAGAAAUCUUUGAGGUACCACAUCCUAAUUCUUAUGAAAAUCCAGAUACCAUUGAUAAUCUUUGCAGUAAGCAUGCAAAAAUAUGUAAACUGCUCUUACCAAAGCAAUCUGAAAGCAUAAUUUUUGUGACAAGAAUAAUAACUGUGUGAGAAAUAAAAGCAUUAAUUUUUCAGUGUUUCCAAUUCA
rnacentral:lncRNA from 1 species